CCCGCCUAACACCAUCCAACGCUAGCCUCUCACACCUACGGACCGGGGCAUCCAUGCCCCUCCUCUUCACGUGUCCGAACCAUCUCAAUCGUGUUUCCCGCAUCUUGAACUCCACUGAAGUCACACCAACCUUCUCCCGGAUAGUCUCAUUCCGAACUCUAUCCCCUCUAGUCAAUCCACACAUCCAGCGCAACAUCCGCAUUUCUGCCACCUUCAUUUUUUGGAUGUGGGAGUUCUUAACUGGC
rnacentral:lncRNA from 1 species